rnacentral:misc_RNA from 1 species
GCUUUUAAAAAACUACAUGAUGAGCUCAUGGGAAACAUUUUUCAUGCAAGGAAAUAGUUAGUGGUUGGUUCCACAUGUUUUCUUCACGAAAAAACAAAUAGAAAGUCAGAAAAGCAUUCCUAAAUUCUUAUUCCAUCUCCUCCUGCAAGUCAAACAGUAAUUAGGUAUGGUUUCAAAAUGCCACAUACAAUGAAAAGAAAGAUAAUUGAUAGUUUUAAAUAACAGCCAUUAUUUUAUGACCAAAGGUUUUGGAUCUCAUUAUUGGGCUAGACAUUCAGAAAUCAAAUUCAAAAUUAUGGGACAAAUUGUCACCAUUCUCCCCUUUUACCUAUCUUGCGGCAUUAAGCAGGAAAAUUAAAUGGCA